rnacentral:rRNA from 1 species
CCCUGCCCUUUGUACACACCGCCCGUCGCUCCUACCGAUUGAAUGUUAAGGCGAACACUCCGGAAUCGUGGCCUCGAUUGGGCAACCUUUCUUGGCCAACCGAUGAAGUUGUGUAAGCCUUGACAUUU